AGCUUUAUAGUUUAAUAAAAACAUAAAUUUUGUAAAUUUAAAUUAAAUCCUGAUUUUAAAGCUU
rnacentral:tRNA from 1 species